UGUGGACCCAGUUGAUGCAGAACCUCAGCCCUCCAAUCACGCGGCUUCUGCACAGCAUCCUCCUGUGGGACAGAUGCCGUUUCAGUCCUGUCCUCUCCAGCUCCGAGGGUCUCGGCUCUGGCUUCCGCGUGCUCAUCGUCCCUUCGCUCCCGGUGGGAGACCUCGCCUGGACUUGCAGGGUGAGCGGCUCCGUGUGCAGGAUGCAAACAGCACGGCUGCAAUCUCAGCUCCUUGUCUGCUGAAAGGACACUUUAAAGUCCAGACACAGAUGCCAGACUCUUCCUCUGGGCCCCGCGGCCCCAGCGGGGCUUGGCCCCGGUGCCGUGGACGACCAGCCGGCCCAGCGGGCUCCCCUGCACUGCAGCGGGUGAAGGAAUCAGCAGAUGCAGCCCAGACCUCUGCUGAGCCUGGAAGGGAAAUUCUUCCUUCCAUGGCCUUGGAGCUGUGAGGACGAGCGUCUCGACAGCCCUAGUUCCACGAAGGCAGAAGACUCUAAAUGGCGAGAUGAUGAAACUGAGAUGCACAGGAAGAGGCCAAGGACGUGUGACGAGGUGUCAGCCCACACCUUUGAGCAGUCUACCUCCGUGGGUUUCAAGACAAGCACUUUCUCUGGUUUCCGAAGUGGAGAGGAUAUUUUGGAAUGACAUAUUUUAAAAGGAGGUGCAGGAACUGGCUGCCGGACGUGGACUGGCUUAUCCAGGAUUCCAGAGGUUUUCAACUGAUGUAAGCAUUUGGCAAAGGGACAGCAUUUCAGUUGAUGUUAUGAUUUCAUUAGCAACUCCCAAAACUAAUUAACUUUUUAAAGGCUACACACAAUAUUUCAGAAGAACUUCUGGAAGAUUUAAAUCGUUAUUAAGGCCUGUGUCUCCUUAAAGUCAUCAUUUCAGAAACAGCAAAUUGUAUCAGGUAGGAGAGACAGAUUUGCUGGAUGACAAAGUACAACUGCACUUUAAUGAUGAAAUAGAAACAGCAAUGACGUUGCAAACAGAGCUCCUGGCCUCAGACCAAUGCGCAGCACUCGGUGGGUCAGGAUGCACAGUCAGGACCACGGCACCAGGCUGAAGGCUGCACCCCCUGACCCGGGGCAGCCCCAGCUCACCAAGCCCCACCGGCAACCUCGGGUUCGGUGCUUUUUUCUCUAGCCUCUAGUUCCUGAUUAAGGAACAUCUCGGACAAGAUGUCUUUAAUGAUGGUAACAAUUUUACAGGAUUAUAAAGAUUAAAUAAAUGAUCUAUGUAUAAAUAUAAAACUUUGUCCAAGGCCUAAUACCACCAAGUACUCACCAAAAGUUGCUGUGACUUUAGGGUCAUUCUCAGCACGGCUCCAGCUCUGUCAAAUCAGCAUCGCUGUCAUCAUCAAAAAACCUCAGGUGGGAGGUCAGUCCUCCGUCCGCCGGUGACCACCCACAGUUUGGGGUCCGGACUCCAGCCUUCCAGGGCCUCGCCUGUCUCCUACGGAAGAAGGGACACACUUUGCAUGUCAUAGCUCAAGCCUCACACACGGGAGUCAGAAUAAAAUAUGACAACAGGCUGCAGGAAGGAGGGCCGUUUAGUCUGUCAGAAGCACAUCAGAACCCACAGCCCAAGUCAACUGGCAAACCCACGGGCGGAGGCGUGACCCUGGUCACUUGGUCUGCCAUCUGUGCGUGUCCACUUUAAGAAAGGGGCUAGCCACGGAAAAGACACCAAACGUUGCCAGCUUGCCUCAGAUAUUUUAUGUCACUUCCCGGUGGCAGAAACUUACUGAGGGACCAUCAGAAGCUCUGCCUCCCAUGGCUUCGUUGAAGUUUGAAGCCUCGUGGCAAGAAGGAGCCCAGUACCCACGCUCUCAGACACUGAAUGAAGUGGACCGGCAGUAAAGCAUGCAGAAUAUCACUGUAUCUUUUCUUAAUGAAAACACUGCCACCAGCUGGUUAAUAAAUGAUUCCACGUUUUUAUUGAGUGAAAAAAGCAAGUCAUUUCCCCUUCAUUUAAAGAGGGACCACAAUGUCGA